rfam:Gossypium raimondii Chr13_contig_283, whole genome shotgun sequence.
AGUCCCAUGAUGAGGACACUUAUAAGUAAUUCUUUGAAUCUCUCCAAUGCCUCGUACAAGGACUCAUCAUCCAAUUGUUGAAAAUUGGUUAUCUCAUUUAGCAACU